rnacentral:tRNA from 1 species
GCCCGGGUGGCUCUGUCGGCUGAGCACCUGACUUCGGCUCAGGUCACAAUCUCCUUGUGAGUUCGAGUCCCGCCUCGGGCU